rnacentral:rRNA from 1 species
UACGUAGGGGGCGAGCGUUGUCCGGAAUGAUUGGGCGUAAAGGGCGCGUAGGCGGCUUUGCAAGUCAGUAGUGGAAGUCCAUUUUUCAAGGAUGGAAGUGCUACAGAAACUGCGGAGCUUGAGUGCAGGAGAGGUUAUCGGAAUUCCCGGUGUAGCGGUGAAAUGCGUAGAGAUCGGGAGGAACACCAGUGGCGAAGGCGGGUAACUGGACUGCAACUGACGCUGAGGCGCGAAAGUGUGGGGAGCAAACAGG